rnacentral:lncRNA from 1 species
UUUAGUUUUCAAAUAAUUCACUUGUUCCAUAAGGCCUCUUUCCACAUGUAACAACGGACUGACAAUUUACUUUUCUAAUAAUUCACUUGUUCCAAGAAUUAACUGUCUCAAGUUCAGCAUGAUUGUCUCUCUCUGAUUCACACAACAAGGCCCUAACACAUUUUGUACCAAAUAGUCUACCGACUAAGCUUUCAUCCUCACCUGCAAUGUUCAAUAGAGAAUAAUAAGGUUCAACAAGGCCAUAUAGAAAAAUUUGGCCUUCUACAAAGCUUGAAUUAUGGGCAACAUAUCUGAAGAAAUUCAUAAGAGAGUAAGGUCAACAAAGGAAAUUCACAAGAGAGUAAGCCCAACACUGAUCCCUCUCCUUCUAUACCAACAUCGCUCACCUUCCAGCCCAACAUCACUCCCUCGAUGCCAAUCAUGACCAGAUCAUGAAACCAGGACGAAGAGAGGGGGGUGAGGGGGAGAGGCCGCACCUCAAGCAUGUCGUCGGCAAAUCCAAAACCGCGGCGCACGUGAGAGGGGAUCCUGGGGAUGAGCAGACGACCUUUGGAAGAAAAACCAGGGAGGGUGGAGGCCACCAACGCCUUGCCCCGACAGGAGCUUGGGGGAGCACCGCCCGUGCAUCUAACAAGCAUCAUUGAAGAAUUUCCAAAAGCACGAACAAAAAAAACAAAUUAUGUGCUUAUGCUUAUAUCUUCUAGGCGCAAACAAAGAUCAAACAAAGGGAGAUAUCACAAUACCAAUAAAUGAUCAUAAGCCUAAUAUAUGUUUAUUCUCAAAUAUAUAGGAUCGAACAAAUAUAUUUGACUUAUAUAUUACUACUGACUCAUUUAUUUGUUCUUCGGCAUUUAUUGGCGUCAAACACAAUACAAGAACUGCUAACAAUAUAAAUGACACCAAUAAUAAAACUAAUUAAGUUGUUUUAUUUUCUCCUUUGUUAAUGGCUAUGAUGUGAAAUAAUGCUCAAACUAUUGACACAUAUGUUAGGUGAGAAGGUAAACUCCUGAGUAUAGCUAUCAAGAAGAUGAAUAAUUCUUGAAGUCAACUACAAACAUUUAACUGUGUAACUUGCAUGGAUAACACAAUACUCAGAUUAUAGGAUUUAUUAUUUGUGAAUCACAACAUCUAUACGGACUAUACGGUCUUGGAACAAGCAAAGAUCCAUCCCUCAGAGACAUGUUCUAGCAUAGGAGCACAUCAGACAACAAUACAGGCCAAGUAGUAGAAUAGUAACAUCAAGUUAGGACAUUCCAAGCAGCAGCAGGGGCAAUGCAAAGGCAAAAACAAUGAGAUGUAGUUUGAGUAAAUACAAGCGGCAAGCUGCAGAAAUCACAAUUAACAACACCAUGAUGUAGUAUUGGGAGGCUUAGUUUGUGUGCAAACAAAAUCUGUAUACACUCUGCACUAUUUAAAAUGAUAGUUCAUAACGUCUAAUCAGCAGUGGAUCAUAUAGUAGAUGUGUGUGUGUUUCAGUUCUGACAGUAAAAUAUGGUUUACUUGGGGGGAGUACACUUUUAAUUUGCAGAAAGAUUUUAGAGUAGAAUUAAAUUGGAAUUAAAUGAUAAAAAGAUGAAUUGGUGGACAUACAUAGAUGGCUAAGGUACCUGGGAGCAGAGGAUGACUGCUCCAUGAUUCAGGAAGACGUGAAGCGG